GAAAACGACUGCUAAGACUGGAUAUGAAGUUUUGAGGCAUCUCGAAACUUUUAAAAGACCCGCAAGGGUAUGCUGAGAGAUGGGCUUGCGGCACAUUAGUUAGUUGGUAAGGUAAUGGCUUACCAAGACUAUGAUGUGUAGCUGGACUGAGAGGUUGAACGGCCACAUUGGGACUGAGAUACGGCCCAAACUCCUACGGGAGGCAGCAGUAAGGAAUUUUCGGCAAUGGAGGAAACUCUGACCGAGCAACGCCGCGUGAACGAUGAAGUAUUUAGGUACGUAAAGUUCUUUUAUUAAAGAAGAAAAAAUGAUGGAAAAAUCAUUCUGACGGUAUUUAAUGAAUAAGCCCCGGCUAACUAUGUGCCAGCAGCUGCGGUAAUACAUGGGGGGCAAGCGUUAUCCGGAUUUAUUGGGCGUAAAGGGUGCGUAGGCGGUUAAAUAAGUCUAUGGUAUAAGUUCAACGCUUAACGUUGUGAUGCUAUUGAAACUGUUUGACUAGAGUUGGAUAGAGGCAAGUGGAAUUCCAUGUGUAGCGGUAAAAUGCGUAAAUAUAUGGAGGAACACCAGUAGCGAAGGCGGCUUGCUGGGUCUUAACUGACGCUGAGGCACGAAAGCGUGGGGAGCAAACAGGAUUAGAUACCCUGGUAGUCCACGCCGUAAACGAUGAGUACUAAGUGUUGGGUUAAACCAGUGCUGAAGUUAACACAUUAAGUACUCCGCCUGAGUAGUACGUACGCAAGUAUGAAACUUAAAGGAAUUGACGGGACUCCGCACAAGCGGUGGAUCAUGUUGUUUAAUUCGAAGAUACACGAAAAACCUUACCAGGUCUUGACAUACUCUGCAAAGCUAUAGAAAUAUAGUGGAGGUUAUCAGGGAUACAGGUGGUGCAUGGUUGUCGUCAGCUCGUGUCGUGAGAUGUUGGGUUAAGUCCCGCAACGAGCGCAACCCUUAUCACUAGUUACCAUCAUUUAGUUGGGCACUUUAGUGAGACUGCCAAUGAUAAAUUGGAGGAAGGUGGGGAUUACGUCAAAUCAUCAUGCCCCUUAUGACCUGGGCUACAAACGUGAUACAAUGGCUGUUACAAAGAGUAGCUGAAACGUGAGUUUUUAGCAAAUCUCAAAAAAACAGUCUCAGUUCGGAUUGAAGUCUGCAACUCGACUUCAUGAAGUCGGAAUCGCUAGUAAUCGCGAAUCAGCAUGUCGUGGUGAAUACGUUCACGGGGUUUGUACACACCGCCCGUCA
rnacentral:rRNA from 1 species